rnacentral:ncRNA from 3 species
UGCUCUGAAUGUCAAAGU